GACGAACGCUGGCGGCGUGCUUAACACAUGCAAGUCGAACGGAAAGGCCCUGCUUUUGUGGGGUGCUCGAGUGGCGAACGGGUGAGUAACACGUGAGUAACCUGCCCUUGACUUUGGGAUAACUUCAGGAAACUGGGGCUAAUACCGGAUAGGAGCUCCUGCUGCAUGGUGGGGGUUGGAAAGUUUCGGCGGUUGGGGAUGGACUCGCGGCUUAUCAGCUUGUUGGUGGGGUAGUGGCUUACAAAGCCUUUGACGGGUAGCCGGCCUGAGAGGGUGACCGGCCACAUGGGGACUGAGAUACGGCCCAGACGCGUACGGGAGGCAGCAGUGGGGAAUAUGGCACAAUGGGCGGAAGCCUGAUGCAGCAACGCCGCGUGCGGGAUGACGGCCUUCGGGUGGUAAACCGCUGUCGCCUGUGACGAAGCGUGAGUGACGGUAAUGGGUAAAGAAGCACCGGCUAACUACGUG
rnacentral:rRNA from 1 species